GGGCGGAUACUAUUACGUGUAAAUACACCCCCCCCCACACAGCUACCCGUCUGAUUAGGCAGUUUGAGUGGUAAUGGCUCCCCUAGGCCUCAUCAGUAGCUGGUCUGAGAGGAUGAUCAACCACACUGGGACUGAAACACGGCCCAAACUCCUACGGGAGGCAGCAGUGGGGAAUUUUCCGCAAUGGGCGCAAGCCUGACGGAACAAUACCGCGUGAGGGAAGAAGGUCUGUGGAUUGUAAACCUCUUUUGAUAGGGAAGAAUCAGUGACGGUACCUAUCGAAUCAGCCUCGGCUAACUCCGUGCCAGCAGCCGCGGUAAUACGGAGGAGGCAAGCUUUAUCCGGAAUUAUUGGGCGUAAAGAGUCCGUAGGUGGGUAAACAAGUCAGUUGUUAAAGAGUGAAGCUUAACUUCAUAAAGGCGAUUGAAACUGGUUGUCUUCAGUGUGGUAGGGGUAGAGGGAAUUUCCAGUGUAGCGGUGAAAUGAGUAGAUAUUGGAAAUAACACCGGUGGCGAAAGCGCUCUACUGGGCCUGAACUGACCCUGAGGGACGAAAGCUAUGGGAGCGAAAGGGAUUAGAUACCCCUGUAGUC
rnacentral:rRNA from 1 species